UGCAAAAUAUAAUAUAAAUACCCAUCUCAUCUUUCUAUGUCUAUAUCUUUGUCCUGCGAGUCUGUUUCCACUAAAACCAAAGUAAAAGCCUCAAAUAUCAUUCGUGGAAGUAGAAGCAGAAGCACGCGUUGUGAUUGUAGGAGCUGGAAUUGCUGGCCUUGCAACAUCCUUAGGACUUCAUAGGCUUGGUAUCCGAAGCUUAGUGUUGGAAUCGUCGGAUAGUUUGAAGACAACAGGGUUUGCAUUCUGAACAUGGACAAAUGCAUGGAAGGCAUUAGAUGCCCAUGGUAUUGGCGAUACUCUUCGCCGACAACAUGAGACACUUCAUGGGUACAUUAUGUCACCAUUUUGGACAAUUUGACAUGUACGUUAAAUUAUGUUUUGAAUGUUUGAACACUUUGACAACCCAGGAAAAAAAUAAACUGAGUUAGAUAUACCCCUUCUGCUUGAUAAA